rnacentral:rRNA from 1 species
GUGUCAGCAGCCGCGGUAAUACGGGGGGGGCAAGCGUUGUUCGGAAUUACUGGGCGUAAAGGGUUCGUAGGUGGCUUGCUAAGUCAGACGUGAAAUCCCUCGGCUCAACCGGGGAACUGCGUCUGAGACUGGCGAGCUUGAGUGCAGGAGAGGAACGCAGAAUUCCAGGUGUAGCGGUGAAAUGCGUAGAUAUCUGGAGGAAUACCGGUGGCGAAGGCGGCGUUCUGGACUGCAACUGACACUGAGGAACGAAAGCCAGGGGAGCAAACGGGAUUAGAUACCCGGGUAGUCC